rnacentral:rRNA from 1 species
UCUUCUUCCGUAGGUGAACCUGCGGAAGGAUCAUUA